CACGUAGGGCGCAAGCGUUGUCCGGAAUUAUUGGGCGUAAAGAGCUCGUAGGCGGUCUGUUGCGUCCGCUGUGAAAACUCGGGGCUUAACCCCGAGCCUGCAGUGGAUACGGGCAGACUAGAGGUAGGUAGGGAGAAUGGAAUUCCCGGUGUAGCGGUGAAAUGCGCAGAUAUCGGGAGGAACACCGGUGGCGAAGGCGGCCGACUGGGCCGACCCUGACGCUGAGGCGCGAAGGCGUGGGAGCGAACGGG
rnacentral:rRNA from 1 species